rnacentral:rRNA from 1 species
AUUGAACGCUGGCGGCAUGCUUUACACAUGCAAGUCGAACGGCAGCACGGGAGCUUGCUCCUGGUGGCGAGUGGCGAACGGGUGAGUAAUGCAUCGGAACGUACCCAGUAGUGGGGGAUAGCCCGGCGAAAGCCGGAUUAAUACCGCAUAUUUCCUGAGGGAGAAAGCGGGGGACCUUCGGGCCUCGCGCUACUGGAGCGGCUGAUGUCGGAUUAGCUAGUUGGUGAGGUAAAGGCUCACCAAGGCGACGAUCCGUAGCUGGUCUGAGAGGAUGAUCAGCCACACUGGGACUGAGACACGGCCCAGACUCCUACGGGAGGCAGCAGUGGGGAAUUUUGGACAAUGGGGGCAACCCUGAUCCAGCCACGUCGCCGUCGAGUGAGAAGGACGUCG